AUUCCUGUACUACCGAUAACCUUGUGAGUGAAGGGAUGACUGAGGAGGAUAAUCUAAGUACAACGUUGGUUAUGUGUGCCCAGGUAUUGAUGCUGUCAAAGUAGGCCUAUCCGCUUUGUUGCUUCUGGGAUGUGAUGGGGAGGGAAAUUUAGUAGCGAAGUAGCUGAUUUCACACUGUCAAGAAAAGUGUCUAUCGAGGUUAAAGGUACCCGUACCGCAAACGGACACACGGGGGCGAGGAGAGAAUCCUAAGGCCAGCGAGAGAACUGUUGUUAAGGAA
rnacentral:rRNA from 1 species